AUCGAACGCUGGCGGCAGGCCUAACACAUGCAAGUCGAGCGGUUGACGGGAGCUUGCUCCCUGAUUCAGCGGCGGACGGGUGAGUAAUGCCUAGGAAUCUGCCUAUUAGUGGGGGACAACGUUUCGAAAGGAACGCUAAUACCGCAUACGUCCUACGGGAGAAAGCAGGGGACCUUCGGGCCUUGCGCUAAUAGAUGAGCCUAGGUCGGAUUAGCUUGUUGGUGAGGUAAUGGCUCACCAAGGCGACGAUCUGUAACUGGUCUGAGAGGAUGAUCAGUCACACUGGAACUGAGACACGGUCCAGACUCCUACGGGAGGCAGCAGUGGGGAAUAUUGGACAAUGGGCGAAAGCCUGAUCCAGCCAUGCCGCGUGUGUGAAGAAGGUCUUCGGAUUGUAAAGCACUUUAAGUUGGGAGGAAGGGUUGUAGAUUAAUACUCUGCAAUUUUGACGUUACCGACAGAAUAAGCACCGGCUAACUCUGUGCCAGCCGCCGCGGUAAAAC
rnacentral:rRNA from 1 species